rnacentral:lncRNA from 1 species
GGGGAGUGGGGAGAAGCGAGUUCUCAGCUGGUCCGGGAGGUGGGAGGUGGAGGUAGGGGCUGGAUCGAGGUAAGGGUGAGAGGAGGGAGGGGGACGACUCUGUGUCAGAGAGGGCUGGAGAAAAAGAUUUCCCUUUGCACGUCCCUCUUGCUCGUCUAAGCAGGGUUCCUCCCGACGACUCCUGGGCUUGUCCGGGUGGAGAUGAAUUGAGCUAGUCCCCAUCCCAGAGGAGUUGAGGGAGGCUUGGGCUGGGGCGGGAGGGGGGCAGUGGAAGAGGGAAAGUCCAACGCCUCCUCCUCCACCACCUCCUCCUCCCGGGUCUGGCAGUGAGGGACUGUCGCCGAGCCUCCAAAGAGCACUGCUGGCUUCCGCCUCAGUCGUCAGAAGUUAAGGUCUACCAGGAGGGGCCAUUGGUGGAGGAACGUCACGUGACUGAGGGGUGCCAAUGUUAUUCUUUAAGGGUGUCAAGACCCUGUCAGUUUGUGAAAU